rnacentral:rRNA from 1 species
UGAGGAAUAUUGGUCAAUGGGCGCAAGCCUGAACCAGCCAUGCCGCGUGCAGGAUGACGGUCCUAUGGAUUGUAAACUGCUUUUGUACGGGAAGAAACACUCCUACGUGUAGGAACUUGACGGUACCGUAAGAAUAAGGAUCGGCUAACUCCGUGCCAGCAGCCGCGGUAAUACGGAGGAUCCAAGCGUUAUCCGGAAUCAUUGGGUUUAAAGGUCCGUAGGCGGUUUAAUAAGUCAGUGGUGAAAGCCCAUCGCUUAACGAUGGAACGGCCAUUGAUACUGUUAGACUUGAAUUGGUGGGAAGUAACUAGAAUAUGUAGUGUAGCGGUGAAAUGCUUAGAUAUUACAUGGAAUACCAAUUGCGAAGGCAGGUUACUAUCACUAUAUUGACGCUGAUGGACGAAAGCGUGGGGAGCGAACAGGAUUAGAUACCCUGGUAGUCCACGCCGUAAACGAUGGAUACUAGCUGUUCGGAGCAAUCUGAGUGGCUAA